rnacentral:rRNA from 1 species
GACGUAGGGGGCAAGCGUUGUUCGGAAUUAUUGGGCGUAAAGCGCUCGUAGGCGGGACAGGAAGUUCGUGUUGAAAGACCUCGGCUCAACUGAGGGACCGGCUCGAAUACUCUUGUUCUUGAGGCAAUCAGAGGGUGAUGGAAUUCCCGGUGUAGCGGUGAAAUGCGUAGAUAUCAGGAGGAACACCUGUGGCGAAAGCGGCUCACUGGACCAUAACUGACGCUGAUGCACGAAAGCUAGGGGAGCAAACAGG